GAACUGAUUUGCCAGCACUUUCUCCUGAGAAGAGAUGGGAGAAAAACUCUGAAUGUGCUUCUGGUGGCCUCAGGUUGAGCAAUACAACAGAAGGUUUUGAUAACCUGUCUUCUGAUGCCAAGAGAUGUGACGAGAACAAAAGGAGGAGGACCAUGAAUGAGCACUUAUUUAUGUUUUUGUACCCAAAAUGAUGAGCGCAUCAGAAGAAGAAAAAAAAUGUUGCUUUGAAUGGCAUUCUUGAAGUAUUGGAAAGGUAAUGAAGAGGAACAAGGUGACCAAACUGCCAGACAUGUUAAACCAGCACCAUUAUGCACUUGUUAAUUAUUAUUUUUUUUUAAAUCUCUAGUCUGGUUAGGCUGAGGCACCCUUAUGCUGCAGUCUGCAAUUCUUGCUGUCUCUGUAAAACACAGUCCCACACUCCAAAACCUGCAAGGUUCGUGG
rnacentral:lncRNA from 1 species